rnacentral:ribozyme from 1 species
AUAAUAAAGGAAAACAAAUAAAAGAAACAGAUUAAAAAUGAAAAAGGAAAAGGCAUUUAGUCUUUACAGAAAGGAUUGGGACGCUGUCCGGCUUUCUUUCUUAUCAUCUCAUUUCCUUUUUCUCUCAUCUUUU